GUCUGUAGCUACUCUCUAGGCAUUAGAGAAGGAAAGGAGGACUCCUAAAUGCAGAGUAGAAAUCCUAGGGAUCCAGGCUCUGAAGAAGGAGUUUCCCCAGAAAGGUGGUGAGGUAAAAGCCAGAAAGAGGUGGAGUAGAAAAAGCCUUAGGGUAACAGCUGCAAGGUGGAAUGUUGUAGAGCUUGGCCACUGAUUAGAGGUUUCUUGAGCUGGAACCUGGAAUCAAGGGUGGCGCUGGGUUUCCAUGCCAGUCACCGACGAAGUGGCAUAGUCAGGGCAGUGGAUUUGAAAACUGCCUAGGACAGUUUAUCCUGUGGGAGUUUGAUACUGUUGGAGGGAAACACAUAGUGACUUGGCUGGAGGGCCAAGCCAUGAAGAGGGAACAACCAAGUACCAAAGAGGAAGUGCACGGAGUCCCAGAAAGCAAGUGGUGCUGCAGUGCGAGCGAGAUGAUGGAAGGAGGCAUCAGACCUGGACAGAGCUAAUCCCCAGAGCAGCUAGGAGGAGGAGGUGCCACCCUAGCACUUCAUUGCUUCAAAUUCCUCUACACUGAACAGCAAAAGCCAUUUAACAGUCCGAAGCAUUUGGUCUAUUUAAGUCGUUCUGAAAUACUUGCAUCUUCCAGAGUAUUGUACUCAGAUCUAUCAGUACACUGCACCUCCACUGUUGGAAUCCAGGUAUCCUGCCAUUAACACAGAUUGUGUUGGUCUGCUUGCUUCAGUCCUAUAUUCGGUCAUGAAGAAACAUCACUUCAGUUGGGUAUAGAUCAUCAGCAAGUGCAGGGUUCAUAUCCUCUGUUAGGCCUAUCUGUUGUGGACAGAUGGAUAAGGAUUGCAGUAUGACGAGGUACUGAGGACAUAUCAGCAAUUUCUCCUCCAAAACUGCUCUCUCAUUACAAGCUGCUGGGAUACUUCCAAAUCCUCCUGUACACCCCUCUGAGAAGAUGGUUGUGUCCCCUCAGUGUUUGUCUUCCCUUUUCUUUCAAUGAAUCUGUGUACCAGUUAUUGACGCAAUACAGCGGCACAAGCUCUUCCUUUUUGUAUCAGCAA